ACUCAAAUGAAUUGACGGGGGCUCACACAAGCGGUGGAGCAUGUGGCUCAAUUCGAAGCAACGCGAAGAACCUUAUCCUGGGCUUGACAUGCACGGAUUAGCUCCGGGAAACCGGAGUAAGGCCCUCACGGGUACAACGUGCACAGGUGCUGCAUGGCUGUCGUCAGCUCGUGCUGUGAAGUGUCGGGUUAAGUCCCUUAACGAGCGAAACCCCUGUCGCUAGUUGCUACUCUCGAUGCGUCGGGAAGGACUCUAGCGAGACUGCCGGUGUCAAACCGGAGGAAGGUGGGGAUGACGUCAAGUCCUCAUGGCCCUUAUGCCCAGGGCUGCACACGUGCUACAAUGGCGCGAACAAAGCGACGCGAGACCGCAAGGUGGAGCAAAUCGCAAAAAACGCGCCCCAGUUCAGAUCGAGGUCUGCAACUCGACCUCGUGAAGCCGGAAUCGCUAGUAAUCGCGGAUCAGCUACGCCGCGGUGAAUAUGUUCCUGAGCCUUGUACACACCGCCCGU
rnacentral:rRNA from 1 species